rnacentral:rRNA from 1 species
UAGGGAAUAUUGGACAAUGGGCGAAAGCCUGAUCCAGCAACGCCGCGUGCGCGAUGAAGGCCUUCGGGUUGUAAAGCGCUUUUAGGGGAGAUGAGAAAGGACAGUAUCCUCUGAAUAAGCCUCGGCGAACUACGUGCCAGCAGCCGCGGUAAAACGUAGGAGGCAAGCGUUAUCCGGAUUUAUUGGGCGUAAAGCGCGUGCAGGCGGUUUGAUAAGUUGGAUGUGAAAUCUCCCGGCUCAACUGGGAGCGGUCAUUCAAAACUAUCAGACUAGAGGAUGGGAGAGGGAGGUGGAAUUCCGGGUGUAGUGGUGAAAUACGUAGAUAUCCGGAGGAACACCAGUGGCGAAGGCGGCCUCCUAGACCAUUCCUGACGCUAAGACGCGAAAGCUAGGGGAGCAAACGGG